UACGUAGGGGGCAAGCGUUGUCCGGAAUCAUUGGGCGUAAAGAGCGUGUAGGCGGCUUGGCAAGUCUCGCGUGAAAUCCUGCGGCUCAACCGCAGGCGGUCGCGGGAAACUGCCUCGCUAGAGUCCGGAAGAGGAGAGUGGAAUUCCUGGUGUAGCGGUGGAAUGCGCAGAUAUCAGGAAGAACACCCGUGGCGAAGGCGGCUCUCUGGGACGGUACUGACGCUGAGGCGCGAAAGCGUGGGGAGCGAACAGG
rnacentral:rRNA from 1 species